UUGAAUCAAACAACAACACUACAUAUGGUCUAUUUUCUACAGAAAAGCAAAACAUUUUAUACUUUGGUUUUUAACAGACCAGACUGCUAGUUGAGUACAUCCAACUAAUGUGAUAAAAAAUUACAAGAUCCAAAUAAAAGCAUAAUGCUUAGAAGCAGCUUAUUACCAAAAAUACUAAUCAGAAGUUUUUUAUAACAAGCAAUUACUCUACUCAUUCAGUGUUUUGUAAAUACAUACAUCUAUGAAUGCUUUUAAACUAAACAAAAAGUUAACUAACAGCAGAAAAAAUGACUUCUCCAAGGCUCUAAAUAAGAGUAAUUAAAUGUAUAAAAUAUCACAAACAUCAGUAAGUUGUUAAUGAAAAGCACCUAAAGUCAGAGACAGCUCUUCAGCCGGUUGCAUGCACUAAAAAGAAGAAGUGUGUGUGCUGCACCGUUGGCUGCAGCAGGCAAGAGUCACACUUUUUCAUUUACAUCUUUGCAGUUUUUAGAGGAGAAGAACUGCAUGACAUUUCCUGACAACAUGCAUUGUCAAGGAAUGACAGCCCUCAGUCAAACGGUAUUUGUCGGCAUGGAGGUGACCAGAAAGCAAGAGGCUGUGUGAUUUAAUGUUGGCUUCUCUUUAUGCUGUGUUUUAUGUAGGCUUUUAAAUUACUCAGCUGGAAAUUUUAUUUCAGGUCCAUGUGCUUUUAUGUCUUAUGGAAAUGUAUUUCCCUUCUUAGAGAUUCCUUCUGCUUUUGCCUUUUUGCCAUUUCCAGAUUUUUCAGAUCAUAAAACUCAUGUUCAAAGCAGACAAUAAUAACCUAAGUAAACACAAAAUCAAUUUUUUUAAAUAACGGCUUUACUAUUUAAAUGGGGAAGUAGUUGUUGCAUGUUUUUUAGUACAUGCAACAAAUCCACUUGACACACUGUGAAAAAGUAAUUGCCUCCCUGAGCCUAACAAGAACUGCCAUCAUGCAUUUGUGACAACUGUGAAUGAGUGUGUUACAUGGAGGAAUUAUGACACUCUUCUGAGCAGACGUUUUUUAAUUUAGCAGUAUGUUUUCAAGAACAAA